GCGGCAGUAGCUCAGUGGUAGAGCAUCGGCUUCCCAAGCCGAGGGUCGCGGGUUCGACCCCCGUUUGCCGCU
rnacentral:tRNA from 1 species